CACAGCUGCUCUCAAGACAACUCUUUCCAAGGUUACAUGAAACCACAGUUGAUUUUGUUUAUUUUCAGUUCGGACUCUCCAAACGCAGCUGGGCUGAACUUGGCUUUCACUUUCUACUGAACAAGAAUCACUGAAGUUUUGUCUGUACUAUAUCCACAUCUGCCCCUGGCUCUGCAUGACUGGAAAUUUGGAAAUGCUGGGCUGACACCUCACAUUUCUGAAAGUUGAAGGAUCAUCUCUGCAUGCUGAAAAGGCCCUAUCUUAUUGCCUGUCCCAGGCUGGUAAAACAGCAGGCAUAUAUUAGUGAAUCUAUCUGUGGGAGCAAGGUGGAGCAAAAUGGGAAGUCUCUGCUUAUUCUUGUACAAUGAUUUGUUUCAGUUGCCAAGCUCUGUUAAAUAAACUUCCAGUGUACCAAGCAG